GGUUGCGGCCAUAUCUACCAGAAAGCACCGUUUCCCGUCCGAUCAACUGUAGUUAAGCUGGUAAGAGCCUGACCGAGUAGUGU
rnacentral:rRNA from 1 species